GUUUGUCUCGGAGCGGGAGAAGACGCCUAUCUAAACGUCGGUAAUAAAUUUACCUACAUAAAUCAUAAGAAAGCAUAUGACGACACGUGAAUUCAGCAGCGCUUCGCUUUCAGAGACGGUGGGGAGUACGUCCAACUUUUAGCGUCACUUUGAGGAAGCUCAAACAAAGGAAUAAACCGGAGUACCUGGAGAGAACCCAUGCAUGCAUGACAAGAAGAUGCAAGCUGUAUGCAGAAGGACCCCAUCGCUAGGAGCUGAGUGGGUGAGGAGCUAGCCAGCGAUGCUUUGUGAGACAGAGGUUUGGUUGGGGCCUUCAGAUCAGAGGAGGAGCUAUGUGGAAAUAGCUGCAGCAGAAGAUUUAAGUAUUCCUCCACCAUGAAAGGAUCAAAGCAACACUGCAGACUCAUCACGUCUGACAUUUUGAACAGACAGGAUAAACAGGGCAUCAUUUUCUUUAUUUUUGUCAUUGUGGAAGUGCUACUUUAAGGUAAAAAUCUUUAUCUAUGUUGUUUGGGGUAUGCCAACCCAUGAGAAUGUUAUUCCAAAGGACAUGCAAUAACAGUUUUUCUGACAAAAAUGGUGAUGUAAUAACUGAUCAAUCAAAAAAUUAGGAACUAAAGAAGAUUUAUUAACAGCAGCCUCAUCUGUGACUUGGGACUGCACAACCUAUUCCUGUUGCUAUCCAUGCUGUUAAAGUGUGCUCAGUUAAAGGUGCUACUGCACAGCCUCAGUUUCAAAGUACAACGUAUUUCAUGCUUACUCACUCGCAGCUGGCUGCCUGACCAGCAGCUGGCAAAAGCGCGUCCAGGAGUAGCUAAUAAAAAUAAAAGUCUACUGGUGAUAGGUUUAUUCAGGUAAGAUAAAGAAGUUCAGGCAAAAACCUUUUUUUCUUUUAUAUGCUUUAUGCAUGAGGAAGAAGCUAUUAUUGACUAAUUCUCCAUGAAUUUCUCCCUGUGGAAUAAUAAAGUUUUUUUUUUUCAUUUGAUUAAUCCUUCAGAGUUCAGCAAUCCUUGUAAUUGGAAGAUAAUUGACAAUAUCGGCAUAGAUUUGUGAGGCUGAUGCUCAUUACUGCGUCCGUGCUGCUGUUGCUGCCAAACCAUUCCAAACACCCACAGAACACAUCAAAAGAGCGAAGGUACUUAGUGGUAGUCCCACGUUAUAAAGCACCUUGAAUUGCCUUGUCGCUGAAAUGUGCUACACAAAUGAACUUGCCUUGAAUUUUGAUGCAAGAAACUGCACCAUUGAAAUGCUGUCAGGAUUUCACCACAAUGUGAGAAAUGCUCAUUUAUGCUUCUUGUUUCUGAAAAGCUGGACAUCUAGGGGAGUUGAAGGCAGGGAGAAGGCUUCAUGUCUAAUAGCUCUUUAUACAUGAAGUGGCUUUCCACACUUAACAUAGCAAGCUAUCGUUGUGUGUUAAAUUCUUACCGCCAGCUCAGAAUGUGAAAAACAAAACAUAAAAUGUGUAAAUGUAGCUGAGCUAACUCAUGAUCAGAGACAAUAGUGCAUGGCAUUAUUAACUGUAACAGGAAGUAGUGACGUUGGUGCUCCACUUGGAGCCACCUAAUGCACGCCGUCACAGAGGGAGACCAACAACAAUGCUAUCCUACCAUAGUAUAUUUCCAUUUCUGUAGUGAUUGGCAGUAAUUGUACAAAAAGAGCAACAAUAUUGUUCUUAUUUACAUAUUCUUGGCCUCAGAAAAGCAAGAACAUUGUGUUGAUGACUCAUACGUGAGAUUGUGUUCCAAAUGGCCAUUCCUGUAUCAUAAAAUUUCUGUGUCACAUUCAGCAUCUUGUAUUAAUGAUCAGCUGUUCUCUCCAUCAGUGGUCUGUGAUGUUUUUGAAGGAGGCUAAUCCCCAGGCAGGAUUAAUGUCCAAUGGCAGACCCAUGGGCUCAUAAAGUGAGUUGUCGCUCCUCACAAUGAAAACACCUAUUCCUCCAAGCCCUAUUCAUUUAUUUUUUCCACUUUUCUCACACACCAGAUAUACUAAAUGAAAUAUAUUUAAGAAGAAAAUAGUGUAAAAUGUGUUUUCCUUCUUUAUGAUCCUCUGUAGCAAAAAAUAAGUGUGAUUUUUCAGCCACUUGUUAUGUAUUAAAUACAUCUGAUGAGCUAAAUUUGAUCAUGCUGAAUUAUUAAAUGUAAGGGCGAGCAUAAUGAAUUGCAUCUCCAUUUCCUUAAUGAUCAUUUCCCAUGGGACAUUGACUUAAGCAUUUAACCAUUUGAAACAACCUCAGUUCAUUUUUCCUCUAAUACUUCAAUGUUUUUAUGGCCCUGAAAGCAUUGGGGUUCCCACACAAAUUG